UACGAAAGCACAAGCGACGCAUGUCGAGAACUCUACAAGAGCAUAGUGAAGAAUGUUCGCCAUCAUCAGAGGAUCAUGAUAUGCACCGACGAGCUGGAGGGAGCGAUGAGUAAAUCUAUCACGAUUGUGCUGGUGGUUAGCACUUUUGUCAUUUGUUUGAAUGCUUUCGGAUUUGUGGAGAUGUUCCAGGGAGCUGCAUCACGAGGAGCGGUUGUGAAGAGGAUAGUUGGUUUCCUAGUCUACGUGGCGCACAAUGGCCUCUUCUGCUUCCUCGGACAGGCAGUCACUGACCAG